CGCGCCUCUCCACCACCCUGCUGCAGAGGCUGCCGGGAGAUGUAGUCUUCCAACCGUCCUUCUCGCGAAGCGCUAGCGGUUAGCCGGGAACCAGUGGAGAGUCUGGAGUCGUGGCUUCAAAAGAAGAAAGACUGAAGCCAGACAAGCAGAGGUCACAGAAUACAAUGGCUCACAUGCGACCAGGUUUAUCAAAUCAAUCUAAACACCCACGGAGAAGCAAGGUGAAAGAAAUGGGGUAGCUCUAUAACACCGGAGCUAGACACUCUCCUGCUGGCCUUGAAGAAGCGAGCUUUCAUGUUGAGAACUGCCUAUGGAGAGGGCCACGUGGCAGGGAACUGCAGAUGGUUUCUAGCACCUGGGUGCAGCCUCCAACUGACAGCCAGUAAGAAGCCAGGGCCCUCAGCCCUACAACCACAAGGAAAUGAAUUCUGCCAACAACCUGAGACGGCUUGGAAGUGGAUUCUUCCCCAGGCAAGCCUCCAGAUGAGAAGACAACGUGACUUACACCUUGUUUGCAGCUUUGUGAGACCCUGAGCAGAGGAACCAGCUCAGCUGUGCCCGUAAUCCUGGCCCACAGAACCUGUGAGAUAAUAACUGUGUUUUAAGACACUAGGUUUCUGGUAGUUUGUUCCACAGCGAUGGAAAAGUAAUAUACUAGAUAUUGCCAGAUUAUUUCACAAAGUGGUUGUGCCAGCUUAUGCUCCACAAGCAGCUGAUAAGGUUUUCUUUUCUAAACAACCUUGCUAACAUUUGGAAAUGUCUUUUUCAUUUUUGCCAAAUGGAUGGGUGUGAAAAUACAUAAUAAUUAGACACAUAUAUUAACAUAAAAACACGAAAAAUAAGUUUUUACUUGCAAUGAUGUAUUCCCUUGUAUUUUUUUCUGUUGCAUAAAUGCUAUUACUUAAAAUAGCAAUAGGACUCAUUAAAAGUGGCAACUAAUAAUAAUUAAUAGAAGGACUAAUUAAGAAAAUAA